rnacentral:misc_RNA from 1 species
AACAUCGCGCACCUGCGGGAACCUGCGGAGGGAUCAUUACAGAGUUGCAAAACUCCCUAAACCAUUGUGAACCUACCUUCUACCGUUGCUUCGGCGGGCGGGCCUAGCGCCCCCCCGGCCCCCCGCGGGCGCCCGCCGGAGGAUAACCAAACUCUUGACAUCAGUGGCCUCUCUGAGUAUUCUUUACUGAAUAAGUCAAAACUUUCAACAACGGAUCU